UGCGCAGGUGGUUUUGUAAGUCAGAUGUGAAAGCCCCGGGCUCAACCUGGGAACUGCGUUUGAAACUACAAGACUAGAGUGUGGCAGAGGGGGGUGGAAUUCCGCGUGUAGCAGUGAAAUGCGUAGAGAUGUGGAGGAACACCGAUGGCGAAGGCAGCCCCCUGGGUUAACACUGACGCUCAGGCACGAAAGCGUGGGGAGCGAACAGGAUUAGAUACCCUGGUAGUC
rnacentral:rRNA from 1 species